CCGCGGCUCCACCCCCACCCCACCUAACGCGUGUAUAGUAUAGAAAAAAAAGUAUCCCUUGGACGACCGCAAGAGGCAGCCAUGGCGACGGCGGAGGCGGGGGGCGAUGGCUUCGAGUUUCUGUCAGAUCCUGUUGACAGGUUCCCCCUGCCGGAUCUUGGCGGCGGCGAGUCCAUGCUCGACGCUGAACCCACCCGAACUCUGGUGUGCACAACCGCCUAGUCCACCAUUGGUGAUGUAGGCGAUGCGGCGCUGACAGUCCAAGUAGACCUAAACAACACUUGCGAGGGGCUGAGUUUGUCGGCGCUGAACUAUGAGGAAUCAACGGGCAAAGAUGAUCCUCAAGCCCCGGGCUGGACGUAGAGAGAAUACGGUGUCAUCAACCGACGUGGCCGCGCCGAGGACUCCUUCCCUCGCCUCCUCCAGGAACUGCCCCAUCAGCGGUGGCAAAAACUGCUCCUUGAACUUGGAUGGACCGCCCGCCCAGCUGCACUGUGUUCUGCGCCACUUAGUUCCUGGCCAAUCCUGAAGGCAUCACAAGACAUUCCGGAAUCUGGUUAGAAUACUUAUUGCUUUAGUGAAUCUGAUAGCAAGAUAUACAUAGUUGCUGUCAAAUGUCAAUGUAUAUUUCCUUUGGUCUUAUUUCUAUGUAUAUAGAAGUUCAUGUUGCUUCUUCGCUCAAUAGCUGAUGGUUGGCUCUCCUAUCUUAUUGUCUAGCAUACUUUGACCUGUGAAUUAUGUAUAUAGAAGUUCAUGCUGCUUCUUAGCUCA